rnacentral:rRNA from 1 species
CCUACGGGAGGCAGCAGUAGGGAAUCUUCCGCAAUGGACGAAAGUCUGACGGAGCAACGCCGCGUGAACGAUGAAGGCCUUCGGGUCGUAAAGUUCUGUUGUUAGGGAAGAACAAGUGCUAGUUAAAUAAGCUGGCACCUUGACGGUACCUAACCAGAAAGCCACGGCUAACUACGUGCCAGCAGCCGCGGUAAUACGUAGGCGGCAAGCGUUGUCCGGAAUUAUUGGGCGUAAAGCGCGCGCAGGCGGUUUCUUAAGUCUGAUGUGAAAGCCCCCGGCUCAACCGGGGAGGGUCAUUGGAAACUGGGAAACUUGAGUGCAGAAGAGGAAAGUGGAAUUCCAAGUGUAGCGGUGAAAUGCGUAGAGAUUUGGAGGAACACCAGUGGCGAAGGCGAACUUUCUGGUCUGUAACUGACGCUGAGGCGCGAAAGCGUGGGGAGCAAACAGGAUUAGAUACCCUGGUAGUCCACGCUGUAAACGAUGAGUGCUAAGUGUUAGAGGGUUUCCGCCCUUUAGUGCUGAAGUUAACGCAUUAAGCACUCCGCCUGGGGAUACGGUCGCAAGACUGAAACUCAAAGGAAUUGACGGNNGAGAGNGCGAGACGACACGAGGGAGAG